rnacentral:misc_RNA from 1 species
AAAACGAGACAGAGGAAGGAUAUAAACAUCUUUGGGCUCUAACAAGAUGGCUGAAAUUUUCUAUGGUAAUUAAGCAAUGGAUGACAAUUUUUUUAACAGCGCAUUUACACAACUCAAAAUCUUCUCUUCUAAUGACUUGCAGAGAAGAGCCUGAUGCGAGCAGCGAUUCUGUACCACUUCCAAUGAAGCUUUCGGGGACUCCAAUAUGUCAUCUAGUUACCAAACUAUCAAGUUGAAGGCAUCUUAGAAAUCUCUACCAAUAU